rnacentral:misc_RNA from 1 species
UUUCCGUAGGUGAACCUGCGGAAGGAUCAUUAAAGAGUUCAUACCCGAAAGGUUAAACGUGCCACCCUUGUCUAUUAUUACUUUAUUACUUUGGCGAACGCAAGCUCGCAAGAGAAGACCAAAACUCUUUUUAUGAAUUUCCUCUGUGUACGAUAUAAUAGUUAAAACUUUCAACAACGGAUCUCGUGGUUCUG